rnacentral:rRNA from 1 species
AACGAACGCUGGCGGCAGGCUUAACACAUGCAAGUCGAGCGCCCCGCAAGGGGAGCGGCAGACGGGUGAGUAACGCGUGGGAAUCUACCCAUCUCUACGGAAUAACGCAUGGAAACGUGUGCUAAUACCGUAUACGUCCUUCGGGAGAAAGAUUUAUCGGAGAUGGAUGAGCCCGCGUUGGAUUAGGUAGUUGGUGGGGUAAAGGCCUACCAAGGCGACGAUCCAUAGCUGGUCUGAGAGGAUGAUCAGCCACACUGAGACUGAGACCCGGCCCAACGUCCUACGGAAGGCAGCAGUGGGGAAUAUUGGACAAUGGGCGCAAGGCUGAUCCAGCCAUGCCGCGUGAGUGAUGAAGGCCCUAGGGUUGUAAAGCUCUUUCACCGGUGAAGAUAAUGACGGUAACCGGAGAAGAAGCCCCGGCUAACUUCGUGCCAGCCGCCGCCGUAACAC